GACGAACGCUGGCGGCGUGCCUAAUACAUGCAAGUCGAACGAGAGCGACCGGUGCUUGCACUGGUCAAUCUAGUGGCGAACGGGUGAGUAACACGUGGGUAACCUGCCCAUCAGAGGGGGAUAACAUCCGGAAACGGAUGCUAAAACCGCAUAGGUCUUCGAACCGCAUGGUUUGAAGAGGAAAAGAGGCGCAAGCUUCUGCUGAUGGAUGGACCCGCGGUGCAUUAGCUAGUUGGUGAGGUAACGGCUCACCAAGGCCGUGAUGCAUAGCCGACCUGAGAGGGUGAUCGGCCACAUUGGGACUGAGACACGGCCCAAACUCCUACGGGAGGCAGCAGUAGGGAAUCUUCCGCAAUGGACGCAAGUCUGACGGAGCAACGCCGCGUGAGUGAAGAAGGUGUUCGGAUCGUAAAACUCUGUUGUUAGAGAAGAACAAGUGCUAGAGUAACUGUUAGCGCCUUGACGGUAUCUAAACAGAAAGCCACGGCUAACUACGUG
rnacentral:rRNA from 1 species